rnacentral:sRNA from 1 species
UGUUUGAUAGGUAAGGCUCCUGCAGGGAUAUGGGCUGCUGCCGCAAAAUGGUGGAGACACCAUGCGCUGGUGAACAGGAUGCGUCGAAACCAAGGCGCACCCUAACGCAGCUGCAACGCCCUGCAGAGUUAAAGCUCAGGCGAA